rnacentral:siRNA from 1 species
CUUCCUGAUAGCUUUCUGGUUCCU